GACCGAAUAGGACGGAGUGGGUAAGGAACUGGGCUUGUAACCGAAAGGUCGCCGGUUCGAUUCCUGGGUAAGGACA
rnacentral:tRNA from 1 species